GGCAGGCUUAACACAUGCAAGUCGAGGGGCAUCAGGCAUAAAGCUUGCUUUCUUUGCUGGCGACCGGCGCACGGGUGAGUAACACGUAUCCAACCUGCCCUUUACUCGGGGAUAGCCUUUCGAAAGAAAGAUUAAUACCCGAUGGCAUAAUGAUUCCGCAUGGUUUCAUUAUUAAAGGAUUCCGGUAAAGGAUGGGGAUGCGUUCCAUUAGGUUGUUGGUGAGGUAACGGCUCACCAAGCCUUCGAUGGAUAGGGGUUCUGAGAGGAAGGUCCCCCACAUUGGAACUGAGACACGGUCCAAACUCCUACGGGAGGCAGCAGUGAGGAAUAUUGGUCAAUGGGCGCUAGCCUGAACCAGCCAAGUAGCGUGAAGGAUGAAGGCUCUAUGGGUCGUAAACUUCUUUUAUAUAAGAAUAAAGUGCAGUAUGUAUACUGUUUUGUAUGUAUUAUAUGAAUAAGGAUCGGCUAACUCCGUGCCAGCAGCCGCGGUAAUACGGAGGAUCCGAGCGUUAUCCGGAUUUAUUGGGUUUAAAGGGAGCGUAGGUGGACUGGUAAGUCAGUUGUGAAAGUUUGCGGCUCAACCGUAAAAUUGCAGUUGAUACUGUCAGUCUUGAGUACAGUAGAGGUGGGCGGAAUUCGUGGUGUAGCGGUGAAAUGCUUAGAUAUCACGAAGAACUCCGAUUGCGAAGGCAGCUCACUGGACUGCAACUGACACUGAUGCUCGAAAGUGUGGGUAUCAAACAGGAUUAGAUACCCUGGUAGUCCACACAGUAAACGAUGAAUACUCGCUGUUUGCGAUAUACAGUAAGCGGCCAAGCGAAAGCAUUAAGUAUUCCACCUGGGGAGUACGCCGGCAACGGUGAAACUCAAAGGAAUUGACGGGGGCCCGCACAAGCGGAGGAACAUGUGGUUUAAUUCGAUGAUACGCGAGGAACCUUACCCGGGCUUAAAUUGCAGUGGAAUGAUGUGGAAACAUGUCAGUGAGCAAUCACCGCUGUGAAGGUGCUGCAUGGUUGUCGUCAGCUCGUACCGUGAGGUGUCGGCUUAAGUGCCAUAACGAGCGCAACCCUUAUCUUUAGUUACUAACAGGUCAUGCUGAGGACUCUAGAGAGACUGCCGUCGUAAGAUGUGAGGAAGGUGGGGAUGACGUCAAAUCAGCACGGCCCUUACGUCCGGGGCUACACACGUGUUACAAUGGGGGGUACAGAAGGCAGCUAGCGGGUGACCGUAUGCUAAUCCCAAAAUCCUCUCUCAGUUCGGAUCGAAGUCUGCAACCCGACUUCGUGAAGCUGGAUUCGCUAGUAAUCGCGCAUCAGCCACGGCGCGGUGAAUACGUUCCCGGGCCUUGUACACACCGCCCGUCAAGCCAUGGGAGCCGGGGGUACCUGAAGUACGUAACCGCAAGGAUCGUCCUAGGGUAAAACUGGUGACUGGG
rnacentral:rRNA from 1 species